rnacentral:rRNA from 1 species
GACGAACGCUGGCGGCGUGCUUAACACAUGCAAGUCGAGCGGUAAGGCCCUUUCGGGGGUACGACGAGCGGCGAACGGGUGAGUAACACGUGGGUGACCUGCCCUCAGCUCUGGGAUAAGCCUGGGAAACCGGGUCUAAUACCGGAUAUGACUCCAUGACGCAUGUUGUGGGGUGGAAAGCCUUGUGCGGCUGAGGAUGGGCCCGCGGCCUAUCAGCUUGUUGGUGGGGUGAUGGCCUACCAAGGCGACGACGGGUAGCCGGCCUGAGAGGGCGACCGGCCACACUGGGACUGAGACACGGCCCAGACUCCUACGGGAGGCAGCAGUGGGGAAUCUUGCGCAAUGGGCGAAAGCCUGACGCAGCGACGCCGCGUGAGGGAUGA